AGUGAACGCUGGCGGUAGGCCUAACACAUGCAAGUCGAACGGCAGCACAGUAAGAGCUUGCUCUUACGGGUGGCGAGUGGCGGACGGGUGAGGAAUACAUCGGAAUCUACUUUUUCGUGGGGGAUAACGUAGGGAAACUUACGCUAAUACCGCAUACGACCUACGGGUGAAAGCAGGGGAUCUUCGGACCUUGCGCGAUUGAAUGAGCCGAUGUCGGAUUAGCUAGUUGGCGGGGUAAGGGCCCACCAAGGCGACGACCCGUAGCUGGUCUGAGAGGAUGAUCAGCCACACUGGAACUGAGACACGGUCCAGACUCCUACGGGAGGCAGCAGUGGGGAAUAUUGGACAAUGGGCGCAAGCCUGAUCCAGCCAUACCGCGUGGGUGAAGAAGGCCUUCGGGUUGUAAAGCCCUUUUGUUGGGAAAGAAAAGCAGCAGGUUAAUACCCCGCUGUUCUGACGGUACCCAAAGAAUAAGCACCGGCUAACUUCGCG
rnacentral:rRNA from 1 species